rnacentral:rRNA from 1 species
ACACGUAUGAAAGUCAAGCUGAAAGACUUUACUCAAUGAUGUAAGUGGUGGUGCAUGGUCGUUCUUAGUUCGUGGAUUGAUUUGUCUGGUCUAUUCCGAUAACGAGCGAGACCCCAUCGUUCCUAAUAGGGGCGGCUAGCCCGCUGACCGAAAGGUUAGUAGCUUCCGCUUAAGAUUUGCUUCUUAGACGUAUCAGAGCCGAUAAGGUUCUUGAAAUGGGUUAAUAACAGGUCAGUCAUGCCCUUAGAUGUUCUGGGCCGCACGCGCGUUACAAUGGCAUGUAAAGCAAGUGCUUGAAAAGGCGUCUCCGGGGCCGAAAGGUCCUGGUAACCCUUAGUCCCUGCCUUGACUGGGACAGAUCUUUGCAAUUAUUGGUCUCCAACGAGGAAUUUUUAGUAGUCGUAGGUCAUUAACCUACGACGA